CCUCAUUAGAAUUACAUCCAAUCCAAGUUUGUAAAUAGUUGGGAGGCAGCCCAUGCCUCUCAGGGAUUGGAUAUUUAAGAAGGGAUGAAUAGACCCUCCCACAGUCUGCCUCCCAACUGUUUACAAACUUUGAUUGGAUGUAAUUCUAAGGU